GACGAACGCUGGCGGCGUGCCUAAUACAUGCAAGUCGAACGCAGUGGGGACGGGUGAGUAAGAAGUGGGUAACCUCCCAUCAGAGGGGAUAACACUUGGAAACAGGUGCUAAACCGAUACUGAUGGAUGGACCCGCGGUGCAUUAGCUAGUUGGUGAGGUAACGGCUCACCAAGGCCACGAGGCAUAGCUGCCCUGACAGGUUGAUCGGCCACCCUGGGACUGAGCCACGGCCCAGACUCCUAUGGACGGCAGCAUUAGGGAAUCUUCGGCAAUGGUCGCCAGUCUGACCGCGCAACGCCGCUUGAGUGAAGACGGUUUUCGGAUCGUAACCCUCUGUUGUUAGAGAAACGGUAACUAACCAGAAAGCCACGGCAAACUACGUGCAAGCAGCCGCGGUAAUUC
rnacentral:rRNA from 1 species